rnacentral:rRNA from 1 species
UACGUAGGGGGCAAGCGUUGUCCGGAGUUACUGGGCGUAAAGCGCACGCAGGCGGUCUUUUAAGUUUGGAGUGACAGUUGGUGGCUUAACUGCCAAAGUGCUUCGAAAACUGAGAGACUUGAGGGCUUCAGAGGGACACGGAAUUCCGGGUGGAGUGGUGAAAUGCGUAGAUAUCCGGAGGAACACCAAAGGCGAAGGCAGUGUCCUGGGGAGUACCUGACGCUCAGGUGCGAAAGCCAGGGGAGCGAACGGG